UCACGAUAGCGUAAAAGUUAACUCAAAUUUGUAUGGAGUUGGAAAGGCUGUCUACGCUUCCCACUAGGGCCGCUAUUCCAACUGCAUACAAAUUUAAGUUAACUUUUACGCUAUCGA
rnacentral:pre_miRNA from 9 species